rnacentral:rRNA from 1 species
GACGAACGCUGGCGGCGUGCUUAACACAUGCAAGUCGAGCGGAGCGGCGGACGGGUGAGUAACGCGUGAGUAACUGCCCCCCUCUCUGGGAUCACAGUUGGAAACGGUUGCUAAUACCGGAUAGUGGGGGAUGACUCGCGUCCUAUCAGCUUGUUGGUGGGGUAGUGGCCUACCAAGGCGACGACGGGUGGCCCGCCUGAGAGGGCGACCGGCCACACUGGUCUGAGAGACGGCCCAAGCUCCUACAGGAGGCAGCAGUGGGGAAUAUUGCACAAUGGGGGAACCCCUGAUGCAUGAACGCCGCGUGCGGGAUGACGGCCUUCUGGUUGAAAACCGCUUUCAGCCAUGACGCGUUAGUGGCAGAAGAAGCACCGGCUAACUACGUGCCAGCAGCCGCGGUAAUUC